rnacentral:rRNA from 1 species
GACGAACGCUGGCGGCGUGCUUAAUACAUGCAAGUCGAACGGAAAGGCCCUGCUCUUGCGGGGUGCUCGAGAGGCGAACGGGUGAGUAACACGCGAGUAACCUGCCCUUGACUUUGGGAUAACUCCAGGAAACUGGGGCUAAUACCGGAUAGGAGCUCCUGCUGCACGGUGGGGGUUGGAAAGUUUCGGCGGUUUGGGAUGGACUCGCGGCUUAUCAGCUUGUUGGUGGGGUAGUGGCGUACCAAGGCUUUGACGGGUAGCCGGCCUGAGAGGGUGACCGGCCACAUUGGGACUGCGAUACGGCCCAGACUCCUACGGGCGGCAGCAGUGGGAAACAUUACGGAAUGGGCGGAAGCCUGAUGCAGCAAUGCCGCGUGCGGGAUGCCGGCCUUCGGGUUGUAAACCGCUUUCGCCGGUGACGAAGCGUGAGUGACGGUAAUGGGUAAGAAAGCACCGGCUAACUACGUG